UUGACCUCAAAUCAGUAGACACCCGG
rnacentral:rRNA from 1 species